UAGUCCACGCCGUAAACGAUGAUAACUGGUUGUUUGUCCGAUUGGGGGCAAGUGACUGAGCGAAAGUAUUAAGUUAUCCACCUGGGGAGUACGUUGGCAACAAUGAAACUCAAAGGAAUUGACGGGGGCCCGCACAAGCGGAGGAACAUGUGGUUUAAUUCGAUGAUACGCGAGGAACCUUACCUGGACUUAAAUGUAGAUUGCAUAGAGUAGAGAUAUUCUUUUCUUCGGACUAUUUACAAGGUGCUGCAUGGUUGUCGUCAGCUCGUGCCGUGAGGUGUCGGGUUAAGUCCCAUAACGAGCGCAACCCCUACCGUUAGUUGCUAGCAGGUCAAGCUGAGGACUCUAACGGGACUGCCGGUGCAAACCGCGAGGAAGGUGGGGAUGACGUCAAAUCAGCACGGCCCUUACGUCCAGGGCUACACACGUGUUACAAUGGCCGGUACAGAGGGCAGCUACCUAGCAAUAGGAUGCGAAUCUCGAAAGCCGGUNUCAGUUCGGAUUGGGGUCUGCAACUCG
rnacentral:rRNA from 1 species